GCCAGAAAACACCACCUGUAAUCCAGUCUUGGAAUGUUGAGGCCUGUGAUGGAGGUCAUUCUUCAUAUCACUUCCACAAGUGGCUCAACCGCCAAGGUGAAAAGAAGAGACAACAAAGGACAGCCUUGGCGUGUCCCACAUAUGGGAGGCGAUGGAAAUGCAUCUACCACGGACCACCGCCUUCAUUGCAUCCCACACAAUACCCACAGGAACUUCAUCUGACCAA